GACGAACGCUGGCGGCGUGCUUAACACAUGCAAGUCGAACGGAAAGGCCCUGCUUUUGUGGGGUGCUCGAGUGGCGAACGGGUGAGUAACACGUGAGUAACCUGCCCUUGACUUUGGGAUAACUUCAGGAAACUGGGGCUAAUACCGGCUAGGAGCUCCUGCUGCAUGGUGGGGGUUGGAAAGUUUCGGCGGUUGGGGAUGGACUCGCGGCUUAUCAGCGUGUUGGUGGGGUAGUGGCUUACCAAGGCUUUGACGGGUAGCCGGCCUGAGUGGGUGACCAGCCACAUUGGGACUGAGAUACGGCCCAGACUCCUACGGGAGGCAGCAGUGGGGAAUAUUGCACAAUGGGCGGAAGCCUGAUGCAGCAACGCCGCGUGCGGGAUGACGGCCUUCGGUUUGUAAACCGCUUUCGCCUGUGACGAAGCGUGAGUGACGGUAAUGGGUAAAGAAGCACCGGCUAACUACGUG
rnacentral:rRNA from 1 species